CAGGGAAAGUCUUACACGACCAGCUCCCUCUGAAUCCCCCCAGGGCAGGAAUGCAGCAAGGGUAGGAGGUUGUAGCGGUGCGAUGUUAAGGUGCUUUCCCU
rnacentral:SRP_RNA from 1 species